AAUGAACGCUGGCGGCAGGCCUAACACAUGCAAGUCGAACGGAUCCUUCGGGAUUAGUGGCGGACGGGUGAGUAACGCGUGGGAACAUACCCAAAGGUACGGAAUAGCCUCGGGAAACUGGGAGUAAUACCGUAUGUGCUCGAAAGAGGAAAGAUUUAUCGCCUUUGGAUUGGCCCGCGUUGGAUUAGGUAGUUGGGGGGGUAAUGGCCUACCAAGCCGACGAUCCAUAGCUGGUUUGAGAGGAUGAUCAGCCACACUGGGACUGAGACACGGCCCAGACUCCUACGGGAGGCAGCAGUGGGGAAUCUUAGACAAUGGGGGAAACCCUGAUCUAGCCAUGCCGCGUGAUCGAUGAAGGCCUUAGGGUUGUAAAGAUCUUUCAGGUGGGAAGAUAAUGACUGUACCGCCAGAAGAAGCCCCGGCUAACUCCGUGCCAGCCGCCGCAGUAA
rnacentral:rRNA from 1 species